CGGGAUGUAGCUCAGCCUGGUAGAGUACGCGUCUGGGGGGCGUGUGGUCGCAAGUUCAAAUCUUGUCAUCCCGACAA
rnacentral:tRNA from 1 species